GGCAGCUGAGCGUGUUCUUGCCAUUUUCCCAUUUAACAAGAAGAAAAGGCCAAACAAGGAGCAAUUAGUCAGAAUAAAAUCAGCUUUGAUGACAUUUUCCCUCCUGAACUCUGGUAUAAAAUGGUCACCUGAGGAAGAACUGAAAGGAUAUGUGAGGAAUUUGGAUGUGGAGCUGCAUGGUCACGCACACAGCGCUGGGCAGAAAAUGAGCAGUCUAUGCAGGUUGAACUUGGUUUUCGUCCUGUGGGUCUCCAUGACAUUGGUGUGCUCGGGUUUCCCAGUCGGCCCUUCCAUGAGCACCAACCCGUUGUACCUGAGCUGCCAGCUGUCCGGGAGAUGGGAUUCGUGCCUGGUGCUGCUGAGCAGCUGCCUGUCCAGGCUGGGCAGGGGGGAGCAGCUGCCCCCUCUCCACAAAAGGUCCUUCCGCAACGGCGUCGGAGCGGGAAUUAAAAAAACUUCCUUCCGAAGGGCAAAGUCCUGAGCAAGUGUCCCAAAGCCCGGCCCUGGUUUUGACAUCUGAUUGUCCCAGUCGUUGCUUUGAGUUCCUUUUGGUGUUUUUCUCUGGCCAAGCCACCUCUGACAGGGUCCCCCAGGGUUCCCAGGAGCGCCCGGGAAGGGCUUUGCUCCCAAAGUCACACUGCCACCAAGUUUUGUCUCGAAAUGAGUGCUCUCAUUUGCUUCAUUUCCCUCUCUUGUCAGGCUACAUACAGGUUUUAAUUCUGCUCUUUGAUUCACACAAAGAUAAUCCCGUGCUUUGAGGAGAUGCGUGCGCGCAGCCUGCGGGGAGGACGGAGGAUUCCCAAAAUCCCUCCUCUCCGCCAGGCACAGGCAUUCCUGUGCUUUCCCAUCCCAAAUCACAUUGACUUGAAGGCAACUGGUAAUUUAAACACAGAUUUAAAGUACACUUCAUUUCAGGUUUCCGAUGAUAUGAAGGGCCGCUGGUGAAACAAUCAGGCCCUACUUGUACCUUCCCCUGGAAUUUUAAUAUAGUUAUUUAAAAUGACUUUGGCAGGGAACAGUCUCUGGAGAUGUCUCAUCUCAUAUCCAGAAGAAUCUUGGGAAAUCAUUCUAAGGCAGGGUAUCAGCACCAUUCCCUAUGCCUCAAUUAAUUGACUUAGGUAGGCAACAUCCAGCUGAUGAAAUGUGCCAAAUCUGGGAUUUUUUUUUAAUUUCCUGUUGGAAAAAAAAAAUAAAACAAGGAAAAAGUCAUUUGAUGUGAAAUAU
rnacentral:lncRNA from 1 species